AUCAAAUGCUCUGAUUUCGCUGCUAUCACAACAACAUCGACCUUCAGCUGAGACUCUGACUCUUCGUGUUAACAUUGAUGGAUUGCCCCUGUUCCGAAGCUCUAAAAUGCAGUUAUGGCCUAUUUUGGCCAAAGUCAAAGAAAUUCCCGGAUGUAAUGUUAUUAUUAUUGGUCUGUAUGCAGGUUCUACAAAGCCCAAUUCUGUAGAGGAAUAUCUUAAGGACUUCAUCCAGGACCUGAAGCAUAUAACCCAGGAGGGUUUACAGUACAAUGGAAUGCAUUACAAUAUUGCACUUCCAGAUGCCUUCAUAUGUGAUGCCCCAGCCCGUGCCUUCCUAAAAUGUAUCAAGGGUCAUUCGGGUUACAGUUCCUGUGAACGCUGUACAGAGCAUGGGGUUCACAUGGACAACAGGGUUGUAUUUCCUAAUCUGGCCGCACCACUUAGAACAGAUUUAGAGUUUCAAAAUAUGGCAGAUGAAGAGCACCAUCGUGGUGUUUCCCCCCUACAAGAGCUAGGCAUAGGAAUGGUGUCAAGCUUUGUUCUUGACUACAUGCAUUUAGUUUGCUUAGGAAACGUUCGAAAACUUGUGAGUCUGUGGAUCAAAGGACCUUUACGUUGUCGGAUUUCUGCAACCACCAUCACAGUUAUCUCCGGCCAUUUGAAGCUAAUUAGAGGACAUCUCCCAAGAAAUUUUGCUCGAAAGCCACGGUCACUUAUGGAAUACAGUCAGUGGAAGGCCACUGAAUUCAGACAAUUUUUGUUAUACACUGUCCCUGUGGUUCUUAAAGGACGUUUACCUACAAGACUGUAUAAGAACUUCAUGUUGCUGUCUGUAGCAAUAAGAAUUCUACUCAGCCCAGCUUUGUGCAUUGAAUACUGUGAUUAUGCAGACAAACUGUUGAAAUGUUAUGUGACCAACUUUGAAAAAAUUUAUGGGACAGAGCACCUUGUGUACAACACACACUGUCUUAUACAUCUGGCUGAUGAUGCAAGAAGGUUUGGUCCCCUGGACAAUAUUUCAUGUUUCCCUUUCGAAAAUUAUCUGGGCACAUUAAAACAGCUGGUCAGAAGACCACAGUACCCUGUCCAACAAGUUGUACGGCGCUUAGGUGAAAAAACUAGCUGUCCUCCUCAGAUCAAAAAAAUGAGAAACAAGCCUCAGCCACCACAUGUCUGUGGUCCAACUCUCUCAAACUAUCCUCCUUGUGUACAUUACAAAAAGUAUAUAUAUGAGGGAAACAUAAUUUCUUGCUCUCAAGGCAACAACUGUUUUGAUGUUGGGGGAAAAGUUGCUGUUGUGAGAAACAUUGUGGAGUUUGCAUCAGGAGAAAUGUAUGCUGUGUGUCAGUUUUAUGAGAGACAAGGAUGCUUUUACAAUUAUCCUAUAGAUUUUUCUUGCCUGGGGGUCAGAAAAGUGACAAAACUAUCUGAAAGACUUCAUAGUGUGCCUGUGACUGACUUGACAAAAAAAGUUGUGCUGCUUCCUGGACAUGAUAAAAAUGUGGCUUUUCCUCUGUUACAUGGCUGCUGAUUUACCUCAUAUGAACUUUGCAGCAUGCCUCUCUUCAACAUUGUGGAGUUCAGAGAGGAAGUGACAAAUGAAGGAAGGGCUCUAAUGGAUAUCAUCCCAUCGUGUUGGUUUACUGAUGAGGACAAGACUGAGUGUUUUUGGCCAGUAGGCCUCAAACUUAAUAUCACCAAGGCAGUUAAACAGUGCCUAAGACCAGAUGAGUCAUGGAGGACUUGUACUUGGAGAUGCAAACACAUAUGAAGAUGCUCGACGCAAGCUUGCACGAGCAGAGGCUACAUCUGAUCUUCAAACAGACAACGAUAUUCCACAGAAGAGACAAAGAAGGCAAGUCCAGGCCCUUGAAACGAGUGAAGAGGACUCUGACACAUGUUGCGAUGAUGAGCUGCCACCUUCUCCACCCCUUGAUUUUAGCAGCAAUUUAAAACCAUAUAAGAGCUGUAAGAGUAACCAGCCUUCAUGCUUACCCAAGAAGCACCAGUAAUCCAUCUAAUGACUAUAAUGCCACGGCGACUGUGAAGAGCCCGAGUGCCACGGCGACUCUAAGAAGCCCGAGUGCCACCCCGUCUCAUCAAGCCUCAUCAUGCUCAAACACUGCCAGGAGCGUUGGAGAAGCCAUGUUUAUUAAACUGAUAACUUUAAUUGAGGGAGUGAAGGAAACACAGAAAGUGCAUGGCAAAAUGCUCAAUACUUUGCUUAAGCAAAGAGAAGCUUCAGUGUUGAUCGAACUGCCUCAGGGAGCAGUGUUUCCAUUAACAACAGUUGAUGAUGUCCAGACCAUGAAUGAGAAGCUGUCAGACUCAGAGUUCAUGUCAGGGGUUGUCAUCAUGGUUGGAGAAAUAGGAGGUGCUUCGGUAGACGAUGCCACCCGAAGAAUGAUGUCAUAUAUAAUGUCACCUGACCUGGCACUGGAAUACAACCUCUGCGGGCAUCAUGGGAAGAGGCCUUUCAGGGAGCUUCGUCUUUUUGACCUCAUUUAUGGAGCACUGAAGACGAACAUCCUAACAAAGGACAUCAACAAGAAGGAUGCAGAGAAGGCUCUUUCAAAAUGGUUCACUGGUGCUCGUGACAGAGGAGGGAAACGGGCGUUGCGAACACAGCGGGAGCUCACUAAACGGGGUGAAACACUGGCCCUUCAGUCCCAAGAUCAAACACAAAUCGAAUACUGAUUCUGCUAGUAAAAGUUUCAUAACUCAGAGGAUUCAGCCCAUAACACGU